AACCGGCUGGGCCACCCAGAUACCCCUCUAACCACAGUUUUAAAAAGCAGAAACAGAACCCAUCUGAAUUCAGACCAGCCAGAGUUCAAGGGCCCAGGGACCACCUGCGCUGGAAGGUGGCUUCGGGACCGACCAGCAGGGCUGCCCGCGGGGCCCACGGACCCCGGGGUUCAUCAGUGAAGUCUGGGAAGUCCACCGAGUUCCCUGAAACCGA